ensembl:snRNA U6 U6 spliceosomal RNA
GUACUCGCUUUGGCAGCACAUAUACUAAAAUUGGAACGAUAUGGAGAAGAUUAGCAUGGCCCCUGAGCAAGCAUGUCAAGCAAAUCUGUGAAGCGUUCCAUAUUUUU